UUAACUUUAUGUGGUAAUAUUACACCUGAACUGAGCCUGUCUGUUGGGAAGCACUAGGUUCACUUAAGGAAAGAUGCUUCUAGCUGGAAUUGGAAUGGACAGAAGAGCAGCAGACUAACCUGAGAGAAAAGGGCAAUGACUCUCCUGAAAUUAAACGGCAGCUUAAUGACACAGAUAAACUAUUAUAGAUUACAGGACGUAGUACAAAGAGGCAAGAUGCAAAUAAAACUUCUGUUUCCCUGCAUAUACUUUGUGAUGGAUAGUGAUGGGCAUUGCAAAGUUCUU
rnacentral:lncRNA from 1 species